UAAGCGGAGGAAAAGAAACUAACUAGGAUUCCCUUAGUAACGGCGAGUGAACCGGGAUGAGCUCAAAUUUAAAAUCUGGCGUCUUUCAGGCGUCCGAGUUGUAAUCUAUAGAGGCGUUUUCCGCGCCGGACCGCGUCCAAGUCUCUUGGAAUAGAGUAUCAAAGAGGGUGACAAUCCCGUACUUGACGCGACAACCGGUGCUCUGUGAUACGUUCUCAAUGAGUCGAGUUGUUUGGGAAUGCAGCUCUAAAUGGGUGGUAAAUUCCAUCUAAGGCUAAAUAUUGGCGAGAGACCGAUAGCGAACAAGUACCGUGAGGGAAAGAUGAAAAGCACUUUGGAAAGAGAGUUAAACAGCACGUGAAAUUGUUAAAAGGGAAACGAUUGAAGUCAGUCGUGUGAAAGGUAUUCAGCCGUCUCUGGCGGUGUAUUUGCCUUUCACGGGUCAACAUCAGUUUGAUCCGGUAGAAAAAGGCGGGAGGAAGGUGGCACCCUCGGGUGUGUUAUAGCCUCCUGUCAUAUGUGCCGGACCAGACUGAGGAACGCAGCUUGCCGCAAGGCCGGGGUUCGCCCACGUACAAGCUUAGAUGUUGACAUAAUGGCUUUAAACGACCCGUCUUGAAACACG
rnacentral:rRNA from 1 species